UUGCUGUAGUGCCGCUCGGAAUAUGGAAAGUCUUGCCUACUGUUUUUGACUUUCUAAGUCAACAAAUAGACUUUGGAGAGAAGCUAAUAAACAGUGUGGGGAGAAAAGAGGAAAGAAACAGAAGUGCCUGCUGAGCUGCUGCUUUAAAAAGAAGAAAAGAGACUGAACUGAGGAAGAGUGGAAAAAUAAUGAUAAUAUUUCUUUCUUGAAUAAGAAAAAGGUUUUGCCUGUAAUAAAUUCACUAUGCAAGACGUACAGACUUCUACCCAAUGCUAUGAAAAUUAACCAAGGCACAUU
rnacentral:lncRNA from 1 species